AGAUUGAACGCUGGCGGCAGGCCUAACACAUGCAAGUCGAGCGGCAGCACGGGUACUUGUACCUGGUGGCGAGCGGCGGACGGGUGAGUAAUGCCUAGGAAUCUGCCUGGUAGUGGGGGAUAACGCUCGGAAACGGACGCUAAUACCGCAUACGUCCUACGGGAGAAAGCAGGGGACCUUCGGGCCUUGCGCUAUCAGAUGAGCCUAGGUCGAUUAGCUAGUUGGUGAGGUAAUGGCUCACCAAGGCGACGAUCCGUAACUGGUCUGAGAGGAUGAUCAGUCACACUGGAACUGAGACACGGUCCAGACUCCUACGGAGGCAGCAGUGGGGAAUAUUGGACAAGUGGGCGAAAAGCCUGAUACCAGCCAAUGCCGCGUGUGUGAAGAAGGUCUUCGGAUUAGUAAAGCUACUUUAAGUUGGUAGGAAAGGCGAGUUACCCAAAUAACGUUAAUGUUGUUUUGGACGUUACCCGGAACUAAGG
rnacentral:rRNA from 1 species